UGUUAAAUAUUUAAUGCUUGAAUAAGGUUUAAAAGGUAUGAGAGUUCAUCAUAUUAAUAUGGUACGUGAGUUGGGUUAAAAACGUCGGGAGGCAGUUU
rnacentral:rRNA from 1 species